AUUGAACGCUGGCGGCAGGCCUAACACAUGCAAGUCGAGCGAGCUGCGGACGGGUGAGUAAUGUAUGGGGACUGCCCGAUAGAGGGGGGUAACUACUGGAAACGGUGACUAAUAACGCCUACUGUCGGAUAACCCAUAUGGGAUUAGUUAGUAGGUAAGGUAAUGGCUUACCUGGGCGACGAUCCCUAGCUGGUCUGAGAGGAUGAUCAGCCACCCUGGGACUGAGAAACGGCCCAGACUCCUCCGGAGGCAGCAGUGGGGAAUAUUGCACAAUGGGCGCAAGCCUGAUGCAGCCAGGCCGCGUGUAUGAAGAAGGCCCUAGGGUUGUAAAGUACUUUCAGUCGGGAGGCGUUACCGACAGAAGAAGCACCGGCUAACUCCGUGCCAGCAGCCGCGGUAAUAC
rnacentral:rRNA from 1 species